GACGAACGCUGGCGGCGUGCUUAACACAUGCAAGUCGAACGGUGAACCAGAGCUUGCUCUGGGGAUCAGUGGCGAACGGGUGAGUAACACGUGGGGCAACCUGCCCCAGACUCUGGGAUAACCUCGGGGAAACCGAUGCUAAUACCGGAUACGACCACUUCGGACAUCCGACGGUGGUGGAAAGUUUUUCGGUCUGGGAUGGGCCCGCGGCCUAUCAGCUAGUUGGUGGGGUAAUGGCCUACCAAGGCGACGACGGGCAGCCGGCCUGAGAGGGCGACCGGCCACACUGGAACUGAGACACGGUCCAGACUCCUACGGGAGGCAGCAGUGGGGAAUAUUGCACAAUGGGCGAAAGCCUGAUGCAGCGACGCCGCGUGAGGGACGAC
rnacentral:rRNA from 1 species